rnacentral:rRNA from 1 species
UAAGGUAAGGAGGUGAUCCAACCGCAGGUUCCCCUACGGUUACCUUGUUACGACUUCACCCCAGUCAUGAAUCACAAAGUGGUAAGCGCCCUCCCGAAGGUUAAGCUACCUACUUCUUUUGCAACCCACUCCCAUGGUGUGACGGGCGGUGUGUACAAGGCCCGGGAACGUAUUCACCGUAGCAUUCUGAUCUACGAUUACUAGCGAUUCCGACUUCAUGGAGUCGAGUUGCAGACUCCAAUCCGGACUACGACAUACUUUAUGAGGUCCGCUUGCUCUCGCGAGGUCGCUUCUCUUUGUAUAUGCCAUUGUAGCACGUGUGUAGCCCUGGUCGUAAGGGCCAUGAUGACUUGACGUCAUCCCCACCUUCCUCCAGUUUAUCACUGGCAGUCUCCUUUGAGUUCCCGGCCUAACCGCUGGCAACAAAGGAUAAGGGUUGCGCUCGUUGCGGGACUUAACCCAACAUUUCACAACACGAGCUGACGACAGCCAUGCAGCACCUGUCUCACAGUUCCCGAAGGCACCAAUCCAUCUCUGGAAAGUUCUGUGGAUGUCAAGACCAGGUAAGGUUCUUCGCGUUGCAUCGAAUUAAACCACAUGCUCCACCGCUUGUGCGGGCCCCCGUCAAUUCAUUUGAGUUUUAACCUUGCGGCCGUACUCCCCAGGCGGUCGAUUUAACGCGUUAGCUCCGGAAGCCACGCCUCAAGGGCACAACCUCCAAAUCGACAUCGUUUACGGCGUGGACUACCAGGGUAUCUAAUCCUGUUUGCUCCCCACGCUUUCGCACCUGAGCGUCAGUCUUUGUCCAGGGGGCCGCCUUCGCCACCGGUAUUCCUCCAGAUCUCUACGCAUUUCACCGCUACACCUGGAAUUCUACCCCCCUCUACAAGACUCUAGCCUGCCAGUUUCGAAUGCAGUUCCCAGGUUGAGCCCGGGGAUUUCACAUCCGACUUGACAGACCGCCUGCGUGCGCUUUACGCCCAGUAAUUCCGAUUAACGCUUGCACCCUCCGUAUUACCGCGGCUGCUGGCACGGAGUUAGCCGGUGCUUCUUCUGCGGGUAACGUCAAUCGCCAAGGUUAUUAACCUUAACGCCUUCCUCCCCGCUGAAAGUGCUUUACAACCCGAAGGCCUUCUUCACACACGCGGCAUGGCUGCAUCAGGCUUGCGCCCAUUGUGCAAUAUUCCCCACUGCUGCCUCCCGUAGGAGUCUGGACCGUGUCUCAGUUCCAGUGUGGCUGGUCAUCCUCUCAGACCAGCUAGGGAUCGUCGCCUAGGUGAGCCGUUACCCCACCUACUAGCUAAUCCCAUCUGGGCACAUCUGAUGGCAUGAGGCCCGAAGGUCCCCCACUUUGGUCUUGCGACAUUAUGCGGUAUUAGCUACCGUUUCCAGUAGUUAUCCCCCUCCAUCAGGCAGUUUCCCAGACAUUACUCACCCGUCCGCCGCUCGUCACCCGAGAGCAAGCUCUCUGUGCUACCGCUCGACUUGCAUGUGUUAGGCCUGCCGCCAGCGUUCAAUCUGAGCCAUGAUCAAACUCUUCAAUU